GCUAACUACGUGCCAGCAGCCGCGGUAAUACGGAGGGUGCGAGCGUUAAUCGGAAUUACUGGGCGUAAAGCGUGCGUAGGCGGCUUGUUAAGUUGGAUGUGAAAGCCCCGGGCUUAACCUGGGAAUUGCAUCCAAAACUGGCAAGCUAGAGUGCGGAAGAGGAGUGUGGAAUUUCCUGUGUAGCGGUGAAAUGCGUAGAUAUAGGAAGGAACACCAGUGGCGAAGGCGGCUCUCUGGUCUGCAACUGACGCUGAGGCUCGAAAGCAUGGGUAGCGAACAGGAUUAGAUACCCUGGU
rnacentral:rRNA from 1 species